rnacentral:rRNA from 1 species
CUUAACACAUGCAAGUCGAGGGGCAGCAUUGUGAGUAGCAAUACUUACAGAUGGCGACCGGCGCAAGGGUGCGUAACGCGUGAGCAACAUGCCCGUAACAGGGGGAUAAUCCAGGGAAACUUGGUCUAAUACCGCAUAAUAUCAAUUAGAGGCAUCUUUGAUUGAUUAAAAUUUCGAUGGUUACGGAUUGGCUCGCGUGACAUUAGCUAGAUGGAGAGGUAACGGCUCACCAUGGCGACGAUGUCUAGGGGAACUGAGAGGUUUAUCCCCCCACACUGGUACUGAGACACGGACCAGACUCCUACGGGAGGCAGCAGUGAGGAAUAUUGGACAAUGGAUGGAAAUCUGAUCCAGCCAUGCCGCGUGCAGGAUUACAGCCCUAUGGGUUUUAAACUGCUUUUGUAUGGGAGCAAUAAUAUGUACGCGUACAUAGAUGAGAGUACCAUACGAAUAAGCAUCGGCUAACUCCGUG